rnacentral:RNase_P_RNA from 2 species
AGAGUAGGCGCAGGUGGUUGCGGACCGAAAAAGUCUGAGGAAAGUCCGGGCUCCCAAAAGGCCAAACUUGCUGGGUAACGCCCAGUGCGAGCGAUCGUGAGGAUAGUGCCACAGAAAUAUACCGCCUACCAGGUAAUGAGUGGUGAAUUUUGAAUUAAAAACUCAAAAUUUAAAGCUCAAAACUUAGUAGGUAAGGGUGCAAAGGUGCGGUAAGAGCGCACCAGCAGUAUCGAGAGGUACUGGCUAGGUAAACCCCGGUUGGGAGCAAGGUCGGAGGAACUAUGGUUGGUCUUUUUCCAGUUCCGUUUUUGAGUACCGCUUGAGGCGUUUGGUAACAAGCGUCCCAGAUAGAUAACUGCCCUUUUAAUUGCUGGCAAUUAAGAGAACAGAACCCGGCUUAUGUCCGACUCUUUCC